GCUGUUGCAGACAGGAAUCAGAGGACAAAACUAUUCGUCUGGCUGACUUCGCAGAAAUUAUGUUGUUUCGAAUCGAAACCCUACGGAUUAGGGUUUAAGAGGAAUUCCAACUACUCAAACUGUAAGAGUAAACAAUUUUGAGGAAGGCGAAUAUAACAAAAAUGAAUAAAAACUACGUUAUAUGUUUACUUUUAUAUAUGUUAAUCUUAAUUUAUACUCAGCUUGGUAUCUAUAAUUUAUUAUUAUAAUAUGAUAUUUUAACAAACUUUUCAGUAAGUGUGCACUCUCCAGUUUCAGUUUCCAUUUCGAGCAUAGUGCUGUGCUAUAAACCAAAAGCCCUCAUUUUCCUCAUCGCAUUAGAAAAAUAUGCAAUCAGAGAGGCUCAACGACAUGGUUUUCAAGUAAAAAUAAUAACAGAAAAAAAAAUAAAAUAACACAUGUGGAAUGCUGCUCGUGUAUAUCUACAGGAACUUUCCUGAUGCAAAAAUCAUCUCGAACUCUCAACUGACACUGGAAUUUCAAAAAACGAAACAAACUCUCGAAUAUUACAAUGUCCCUGAACAUUUCGCACAGAUCAAUCACGCUAGGCAAAUAGUUUUGUAUCUUGAAUCCUAUCAUAGCCCAAUCGAAGACAGCCAAUAAUAUCAUUCAUCCAAAGGAAAUAAUAUCAGAAAUCUUCAAUUCUAUCAAAGUCUAACAGAAAAAAAUAAACGACGGAUGAAAAACUUACAGCUGUUGCAGACGGGAAUCAAAGCUCGAAGCUACUCGUCUGGCUGACUUUGCAGAGAUAUUUUGUUGUCGUUCCGAACCGAAACCCUAUGAAUUAGGGUUUAAGAGAAAUUGGAAAGACUCAGCAACAUAACUGGGAAAACCACAGUAAGAGUAAACAAUUUUCAGGAAGGGGAAUGUAAUAAAAAUAAAGACUACGACGGCUGACUCUGUUGGCGGUGGAGGACGUCGGACCUGGUGACCGUCGGUGACACUAGCGGUGAUUGGUGACGCUGACGGCGCUCAUCUCGCGGUUAACGGCAGACAGUUUGGCAGAGGCGGUGGCUCACGCAUGGAAGGAGAAAUUAAACUAUAUUUUUCUCUUUAGAUUUUUACUUUUCAGGAGAAAUUAAACAUUUUCAAAACCACAUCUUUAUUCGUGUAGGGUGUUAAUACCUUCCCUACACGUAACCGACUCCCGAACCAGAAUCUGGUUUUUUGUAGACCAAGCCUUAUCCCUUUUACGGUUUUUCUAUAGUUUUCCAAAAUAAACUAUAGUGGCGACUCCAAAUUUUUUUUUUCAAAAUCGUCUCUCUUUUUGGAUCGUCGUCCCGUCGCGAUUUCCGGUUGCGACACUAUCCUUGUAUAUUUUCUCUUUUGCGAUGAUCACCUAAUUGGUGUGAGCUUAGGGAGACAGUUGUUUCAGUUACUUCAGCGAUAUGUGAUCGAGAGGAUUUAGUAGAGAAGUCGGAU
rnacentral:lncRNA from 1 species